AGCGAACGCUGGCGGCAGGCCUAACACAUGCAAGUCGAACGAAGCCUUCGGGCUUAGUGGCGGACGGGUGAGUAACACGUGGGAACGUACCUUUUGGUUCGGAAUAACGCAGAGAAAUUUGCGCUAAUACCGAAUGAGCCCUUAGGGGGAAAGAUUUAUCGCCGAAAAAUCGGCCCGCGUUGGAUUAGGUAGUUGGUGUGGUAAAGGCGCACCAAGCCUACGAUCCAUAGCUGGUCUGAGAGGAUGAUCAGCCACACUGGGACUGAGACACGGCCCAGACUCCUACGGGAGGCAGCAGUGGGGAAUCUUGCGCAAUGGGCGAAAGCCUGACGCAGCCAUGCCGCGUGAAAGAUGAAGGUCUUAGGAUUGUAAAAUUCUUUUACCAGGGACGAUAAUGACGGUACCUGGAGAAAAAGCCCCGGCUAACUUCGUGCCAGCCGCCGCAGUAAAAC
rnacentral:rRNA from 1 species